rnacentral:rRNA from 1 species
CCUACGGGUGGCAGCAGUGAGGAAUAUUGGUCAAUGGCCGGAAGGCUGAACCAGCCAAGCCGCGUGAGGGAGGAAGGCGCAGAGCGUCGCAGACCUCUUUUGCCGGGGGACAAAAGGCCGGACUCGUCCGGUCCUGAGGGUACCCGGAGAAAAAGCAUCGGCUAACUCCGUGCCAGCAGCCGCGGUAAUACGGAGGAUGCGAGCGUUAUCCGGAUUUAUUGGGUGUAAAGGGCGUGUAGCCGGGCUGACAAGUCAGAUGUGAAAUCCGGGGGCUCAACCCCCGAACUGCAUUUGAAACUGUUGGUCUUGAGUAUCGGAGAGGCAGGCGGAAUUCCUAGGGUAGCGGUGAAAUGCGUAGAUAUUAGGAGGAACACCAGUGGCGAAGGCGGCCUGCUGGACGACAACUGACGGUGAGGCGCGAAAGCGUGGGGAGCAAACAGGAUUAGAUACCCUUGUAGUC